GACGAACGCUGGCGGCGUGCUUAACACAUGCAAGUCGAACGAAGUGGCGAACGGGUGAGUAACGCGUAAUCAACCUGCCCUUCAGAGGGGUACAACAGUUGGACACGACUGCUAAUACCACACACUGCAGGAUGGGAUUGCGUCUGUGUAGCUAGGUGGAGGGGUAACGGCCCACCAAGGCGAUGAUCAGUAGCCGGUAGGGGAGGAUGGACGGCCACAAUGGGACUGGGACACGGCCCAGACGCCUGCGGGAGGCAGCAGUGGGGAAACGUCCGGAAUGGACGAAAGUCUGACGGAGCAACGGCGCGUGAGUGAGGACGGCCUUCGGGUUGUAAAGCUCUGUUUAUCGGGACGCGGUACCGGAAUAGAAAGCCACGGCUAACUACGUGCCAGCAGCCGCGGUAAUUC
rnacentral:rRNA from 1 species